rnacentral:rRNA from 1 species
AGCCUGAUGCAGCCAUGCCGCGUGUGUGAAGAAGGCCUUCGGGUUGUAAAGACCAGUCGUGAGGAAGGUGUGAGUUAAUAGCUGUUAUUUGACGUUAGCGACAGAAGAAGCACCGGCUAACUCCGUGCCAGCAGCCGCGGUAAUACGGAGGGUGCGAGCGUUAAUCGGAAUUACUGGGCGUAAAGCGCAUGCAGGUGGUUUGUUAAGUCAGAUGUGAAAGCCCGGGGCUCAACCUCGGAAUAGCAUUUGAAACUGGCAGACUAGAGUACUGUAGAGGGGGGUAGAAUUUCAGGUGUAGCGGUGAAAUGCGUAGAGAUCUGAAGGAAUACCGGUGGCGAAGGCGGCCCCCUGGACAGAUACUGACACUCAGAUGCGAAAGCGUGGGGAGCAAACAGGAUUAGAUACCCUGGUAGUCCACGCCGUAAACGAUGUCUACUUGGAGGUUGUGGCCUUGAGCCGGCUUCGGACUAACGCGUUAAG